AGUGAACGCUGGCGGUAGGCCCAACACAUGCAAGUCGAACGGCAGCACAGGAGAGCUUGCUCUCUGGGUGGCGAGUGGCGGACGGGUGAGGAAUACAUCGGAAUCUACUCUGUCGUGGGGGAUAACGUAGGGAAACUUACGCUAAUACCGCAUACGACCUACGGGUGAAAGCAGGGGACCUUCGGGCCUUGCGCGAUUGAAUGAGCCGAUGUCGGAUUAGCUAGUUGGCGGGGUAAAGGCCCACCAAGGCGACGAUCCGUAGCUGGUCUGGGAGGAUGAUCAGCCACGCUGGAACUGAGACACGGUCCAGACUCCUACGGGAGGCAGCAGUGGGGAAUAUUGGACAAUGGGCGCAAGCCUGAUCCAGCCAUACCGCGUGGGUGAAGAAGGCCUUCGGGUUGUAAAGCCCUUUUGUUGGGAAAGAAAUCCAGCUGGCUAAUACCCGGUUGGGAUGACGGUACCCAAAGAAUAAGCACCGGCUAACUUCGUGCCAGCAGCCGCCGUAA
rnacentral:rRNA from 1 species